UACAGAGGUCUCAAGCGUUGUUCGGAUUCAUUGGGCGUAAAGGGUGCGUAGGUGGCGGGGUAAGUCAGGUGUGAAAUCUCGGAGCUCAACUCCGAAACUGCACUUGAUACUGCCUUGCUCGAGUACUGGAGAGGAGAUUGGAAUUUACGGUGUAGCAGUGAAAUGCGUAGAUAUCGUAAGGAAGACCAGUGGCGAAGGCGAAUCUCUGGACAGUUACUGACACUGAGACACGAAGGCCAGGGGAGCAAACAGG
rnacentral:rRNA from 1 species